UAAACGUCCAUAAAUUCAGUCACUUUUACUUACCAUACAAACAGAGAAGCUUCAUUACACCAGAUUCUAACAAAAAUGAAUUCCAGUCUAUUGAAAUGUUUGGUUUUAGUGGGAGCAGUUAGUGGAGUUUAUUCCUAUGGUAGAGGAGCUCCACCUGGAGCUUGUGUUAGUAUGGAGCCAGGACACACUGGAAUUUCACCACAAACAUUAACAUCACCGUACUCCAUUACGGUUUCAACAACUACAUAUCAACCUAAUCAACAAAUAACAGUCACGAUCUCGGGAGGCGGUAAUCACCAAGGACUUUUACUUCAAGCUAGACAAUCUGGUGCAACGACACCAAUUGGAACGUUUAGUACUCCAUCGGUCAACACCAAAACAAUCCAAUGUCCUGCUGCUGGGGAUUCAUGGACCCAUUCCUCUCCAACAGACAAACCAACAUCAACUGUAAUAUGGACAGCACCAUCUACUGAUAUGGGGCAGAUUACUUUCAGUGCUACUAUUGCACAGAAUAAAAAUACCUACUGGAUGAACCACGAAUCGCAAGCAUUAGCAUUUAUGUCCGGAUCUACCAUGUCCAGUGCGAAUGUCCCAAUAACAACUCCCGGUAGUGGUAGUUCAGGUACCCGACUUGGGAUUGCUUCAGUUUUAGCUGUCGCCAUCACCGCUUUUUAUUUGUUGUAAACUGAUACAAUUUUAUUUCUGUACCGGUACUUAGUUCAACGCUGAAAACUGGUUACUCUGUUAUUACUGACUCUUUUGGGGUAUUCAUUUUCUUUUCUAUAAAACUGGAACCAUACAAUUUACCAUUACUAUUUUGCCUUUAAAUAAUUCAACCUGGCAUAUCAUCUAUAAGUGUACACCUUCCAGACUUGGCUAUUUUGGAUAUUAUUUAUGAAGUUACCUACACCUUUUGUGCCUAUAUGUAAAAGAUAUGUAUUUUGAAAUGAAAUGGGGAGUAACAUCCUACUUUCCUGCACUGAUUGUGCUAAUGAAGGUCUUAUGUCUCUCUUUGUCUAUAUAAGAAAUCUACACGUUUGUCUAUACGGAUAGCCACAUGAGCCUGUAUGAAUAGCUAGCUGUGCCUCAGAAGAGAACAUAUUCUUGAUUUACUUGUACAAUAUUUUAUUCAAGGAAUAUCCCAAAUAAUUUAUGAUAAGAAAAAUAAUCCUCAAUUUUUCUUUGAACAGAAAGUCUGUAAGUUUGUUGUCAUUUGUGGAUGGUGCCGUGUAAAUUUUAUACUAAUUCGAUAUUUUCUGAGAAACUUACGUAAAUAAACUGAUUUAAUUACAA